rnacentral:tRNA from 1 species
AAAAUAAGAAACAAAAAUUGUAAUUAGUUUCGACCUAAUAUUUGAUGAUAAAUAUCAUCCUUAUUU